GUAGGUGGCAAGCGUUGUCCGGAAUUAUUGGGCGUAAAGCGCGCGCAGGUGGUUCUUUAAGUCUGAUGUGAAAGCCCCCGGGCUCAACCGGGGAGGGUCAUUGGAAACUGGGGAACUUGAGUGCAGGAGAGGAAAGUGGAAUUCCACGUGUAGCGGUGAAAUGCGUAGAUAUGUGGAGGAACACCAGUGGCGAAGACGACUUUCUGGCCUGUAACUGACACUGAGGCGCGAAAGCGUGGGGAGCAAACAGGAUUAGAUACCCUGGUAGUCCACGCCGUAAACGAUGAGUGCUAAGUGUUGGGGGGUUUCCGCCCCUCAGUGCUGCAGCUAACGCAUUAAGCACUCCGCCUGGGGAGUACGGUCGCAAAGACUG
rnacentral:rRNA from 1 species